UGCCUAAUACAUGCAAGUCGAGCGGACAGAUGGGAGCUUGCUCCCUGAUGUUAGCGGCGGACGGGUGAGUAACACGUGGGUAACCUGCCUGUAAGACUGGGAUAACUCCGGGAAACCGGGGCUAAUACCGGAUGCUUGUUUGAACCGCAUGGUUCAAACAUAAAAGGUGGCUUCGGCUACCACUUACAGAUGGACCCGCGGCGCAUUAGCUAGUUGGUGAGGUAACGUCUCACCAAGGCGACGAUGCGUAGCCGACCUGAGAGGGUGAUCGGCCACACUGGGACUGAGACACGGCCCAGACUCCUACGGGAGGCAGCAGUAGGGAAUCUUCCGCAAUGGACGAAAGUCUGACGGAGCAACGCCGCGUGCGUGAUGAAGGUUUUCGGAUCGUAAAGCUCUGUUGUUAGGGAAGAACAAGUGCCUUUCAAAUAGGGCGGCACCUUGACGGUACCUAACCAGAAAGCCACGGCUAACUACGUGCCAGCAGCCGCGGUAAUACGUAGGUGGCACGCGUUGUCCGGAAUUAUUGGGCGUAAAGGGCUCGCAGGCGGUUUCUUAAGUCUGAUGUGAAAGCCCCCGGCUCAACCGGGGAGGGUCAUUGGAAACUGGGGAACUUGAGUGCAGAAGAGGAGUGUGGAAUUCCACGUGUAGCGGUGAAAUGCGUAGAGAUGUGGAGGAACACCAGUGGCGAAGGCGACUCUCUGGUCUGUAACUGACGCCGAGGAGCGAAAGCGUGGGGAGCGAACAGGAUUAGAUACCCUGGUAGUCCACGCCGUAAACGAUGAGUGCUAAGUGUUAGGGGGUUUCCGCCCCUUAGUGCUGCAGCUAACGCAUUAAGCACUCCGCCUGGGGAGUACGGUCGCAAGACUGAAACUCAAAGGAAUUGACGGGGGCCCGCACAAGCGGUGGAGCAUGUGGUUUAAUUCCAAGCAACGCGAAGAACCUUACCAGGUCUUGACAUCCUCUGACAAUCCUAGAGAUAGGACGUCCCCUUCGGGGGCAGAGUGACAGGUGGUGCAUGGUUGUCGUCAGCUCGUGUCGUGAGAUGUUGGGUUAUGUCCCGCAACGAGCGCAACCCUUGAUCUUAGUUGCCAGCAUUCAGUUGGGCACUCUAAGGUGACUGCCGGUGACAAACCGGAGGAAGGUGGGGAUGACGUCAAAUCAUCAUGCCCCUUAUGACCUGGGCUACACACGUGCUACAAUGGGCAGAACAAAGGGCAGCGAAACCGCGAGGUUAAGCCAAUCCCACAAAUCUGUUCUCAGUUCGGAUCGCAGUCUGCAACUCGACUGCGUGAAGCUGGAAUCGCUAGUAAUCGCGGAUCAGCAUGCCGCGGUGAAUACGUUCCCGGGCCUUGUACACACCGCCCGUCACACCACGAGAGUUUGUAACACCCGAAGUCGGUGAGGUAACCUUUUUGGAGCC
rnacentral:rRNA from 1 species